CAUUCCUAGGGUCUUGAACCUCUGCACUGCCCAGCCCAGUGCCCAUACCAUCCGUUCUUUGUCUCACUAGCUUGGAUGUGCAUCAGAAUCGCAUCUGAGAAGUGUCAGGUCAGGUGUCUUUUACAGCCUCCUUACAGGUUGUAUCGGUGGCUGUGCUGUGCAGUCAUCUCUUGUAACCGCCUGGGAUUUCUGAGAGUUUAAGAAGAUUCUGAACAUAGCCUUGUCUCCCAUCCAUCUUAGCAAUUUUGUAGGCAGUUCUUGUCCCAGGCCAUUCUGUUAGAGUGUCUUUUCAGGCUCCCCAGAGCCUCCUCCGUUCAGUCUCACCGUAUCCUCCGUCUUCUCGUGCGGCAGCACAUCCAUUUUGGCGUCGUUCCUUUCUCAGAGUUCUCUCUCCUGGUUGCACCACAGCACUUGUCUGGAAAUGUGUCCUUGGAGUUUGUGUUGGGCCUGGAACUGCUCUGCCCUGCAGUGUAGACUUGGGGUGUCAGAGGGACUGGAUGUAAAGCAGAGAUGAACAGAAGAGGCUGGAGGAGCACAGUCAGAAGAUGCAGAGCCCUCAGCCCAGCAGAUGACAGGCACCAGAGGGAAGGUGAGCCUGGUGAGCAAGG